rnacentral:lncRNA from 1 species
CGGCGCUGGGCUUGGCGGCUCAGGCGAUGGCGGUGCUGGGCUUGGCGGAGCAGGCGAUGGCGGCGCUGGGCUGGGCGGAGCAGGCGAUGGCGGCGCUGGGCUGGGCGGCUCAGGCGAUGGCGGCGCUGGGCUGGGCGGCUCAGGCGAUGGCGGCGCUGGGCUGGGCGGCUCAGGCGAUGGCGGCGCUGGGCUGGGCGGAGCAGGCGAUGGCGGCGCUGGGCUUGGUGGAGCAGGCGAUGGCGGCGCUGGGCUUGGCGGCUCAGGCGAUGGCGGCGCUGGGCUUGGAGGAGCAGGCGAUGGCGGCGCUGGGCUUGGCGGAGCAGGCGAUGGCGGCGCUGGGCUUGGCGGCUCAGGCGAUGGCGGCGCUGGGCUUGGAGGAGCAGGCGAUGGCGGCGCUGGGCUGGGCGGCUCAGGCGAUGGCGGCGCUGGGCUU